AUUGAACGCUGGCGGCAUGCCUUACACAUGCAAGUCGAACGGUAACGCGGGGGCAAUCCCUGGCGACGAGUGGCGAACGGGUGAGUAAUACAUCGGAACGUACCCAGUAGUGGGGGAUAGCUCGGCGAAAGCCGGAUUAAUACCGCAUACGACCUAUGGGUGAAAGCGGGGAUCGCAAGACCUCGCGCUAUUGGAGCGGCCGAUGUCGGAUUAGCUAGUUGGUGAGGUAAAGGCUCACCAAGGCUACGAUCCGUAGCUGGUCUGAGAGGACGACCAGCCACACUGGGACUGAGACACGGCCCAGACUCCUACGGGAGGCAGCAGUGGGGAAUUUUGGACAAUGGGCGCAAGCCUGAUCCAGCCAUGCCGCGUGUGUGAAGAAGGCCUGG
rnacentral:rRNA from 1 species